CCCCAUUGUUAUCCGAAAAUCACUAACAGCAACGUCGAAGCUACCGCCACCCAUCCUACACCGACACCACCGCUCCUUCCACCACCACUCCCUAUCGCAAGAAUUUACAACUUGUUUGUGACCAAAUGCUUUACCAGAAACAAGGUUAAAAAACCAAAAUCCCCAACAACCCAAUCGACCCGAGCAAUCACCUUCACAAUAUUCAAUCCCGUCCCAUUUUCAAUUGAUUCAAGUGGUUGCAAAUACGAGAUAUGUAGAGAGAAACUGGUGGGGACAUUGCGCUGAGUUAGUAAUGACAAUUGUUUGAUGCAACGCAUGACUAUUUUCAUCACAAUUGUUGUCAGGCAGCAUGGUCCAAUCGACUCUCGUUUCUUGCUCUCCUAUUUUUUUUCCCCUUUUUUCAUUGAUUUAUUCUUGAGAUUUCUGCUUAUUGUUUGGCAGAUUAACCUUUUUUCAUCUAUGUAGAAGAUUCAUGGGUUUCAAUGCUGCUCUAGUCUACCCAAUCACAAAAACAAAGAAACCCAAACGCCUCAGUGAUUGAAGGUUGCUGUCAGUGGCAAUUUUUGUAGCGGUGGUGCUUGGUGGGUGUCGACAGUUUUGGUGGUGGAUGAGCAAAUAUUAACAUUUUCCGACAGUAGGGAGUGAUGGUGGAAGGAUUGGUGGCACUAGUAUGGGAUGGGUGGCAGUGACGCCGACACUACUGUUAGUGGUUAUGGGAUAAGGGUGGGGAAAAGUGGGAUGGAU
rnacentral:lncRNA from 1 species